CCGAGUGCUGGGAUUAAAGGCAUGUGCCACCACCGCCUGGACAUACUUUUGUUUUUUUAUUUAUGGCUAAGACUAUUUUUUAACCCAUAAUUACUUGGCUUUAUGACCAUAUACGAUUAUCAGUGCCACACUGCCAUUUUUAUAAAAUUGUAAAGCCUGCAUUAUAUUAUCGUUACCAUUUUUAAGUGCAGUUCAGUGGUAUGAAGUACAUUCACCUUAUGGCACAGCCAUCACCAUCAACUGACUCAGAAGGUUCAUCUGGCAGAACUGCAACCAUGUCCCUUCACAAACUCAUUUCCCUCUCCUCUUCACCCCUACUCUGCACAAUACCUCCACUUUGUCAGUUGAGUGCCUAUUAGUACUUCCUGUUUGUAGAAUCAUGUUGUGAAGGUCUGUUUUGGUUAUCAACUUGACUAUAUCUGGAACCAACUAGAAUCCAAGCCGCUGGGCACCCCCGUGAGGGAUUCUUCUCAUUGGAUUAUUUGAAAGAGGAAGAGUCAUCCUGACUGCGAGCCACACUUUUCUUUUUCCAGAUAAAAGGACCUGGACGGAGACUCUGGCCACUCACACUGUCACUGCCAAGUUCAUCUGUCCUUUGCUGGUUGAUAGGAAAACCAGCUUCUUUGGGAUUCCAACACAGACCGACGACCAGCAGCUCUCCAGGGAUCUUCCAGGCCUCCAGGGAUCUCAUGUGGCCCUGGCUAACGUUGACCCACUGCCUCUACUUCCCAGGUGUGCCUAGUGCUGGUUAUUCAACUUUUUUGCCUCUCAGCUCUGAAUGCACCCUUUGCUUGAUUCUCUGUAAUGUGUAAUUCAGCCUUAAGCAGGGAUACUUGCUUCAACCUCUCUUCCUGAAAAGAAACUUUGGUAUUUUUUAUAAACUAGGAGAAGGAAAGAGGUGAAAGAAAGGCGAGAACAGGGCUGUGUGAUGGCAUUAGUUGAUUACAAAGAGACAUUCUGGGGUACCGAAGAGAGGUGUACAUCAUUGUUGUGGGAUAUAUUGCUGUGAUUGGUUCAAUAAAGAGCUGAACAGCCAAUAGCUAGGGAGGAGGUACAGGCAGGACUUCUGGGCAGAGAGGAAGGAAGCAGAUGAAUCUACUUGUCCAAGAGACGCCAGGAGACACAGAAGAAGCAGGAUGGGCAGUAUGUGACAGAAUGUAGAUUAAUAGAAAUAGGUUAAUUUAAGUUAUAAGAGCUAGUAAAAAAAACAAGCCUAGGCUAAGGCCAACCUUUCAUAAGUCUUUCUGUUGUUAUUUGAAAGCUGGCUGGUGGGUCAGAGAAAGACUCAUUACAUAUCAUUUAUUAUUACAUGAUAUCAGAGAUUUAAGCACUGUUGAUUCUGGUGAUAUGGUAUUGCUGUCACAUACCUCAGUUUAGUUUUCCAGCGGGGUCUGCUUUAUUACUAAAAUAUUUACAAUAUUUAGAAUAUAGUACAGUUAGCAGCAACUUCUCAGUCUAGAAAGAGCCACAGACUUCUCACCCAAGUGGCUCAGUUACUAACAAUUCUGUCUCUGUUUCACAGGAGAUGGGUUCCAUUCUGUCAUUCCGCAUCAAAAGCCUCCUAGAAGAUUAUUCCACUGCCUUUGUAAGGCUGCCUGUGUUGGCAUCUGCGAUGGUAGCUAAAUAAAUGAGAUUUCUAUGCAA